AUGAAGACAAUUCUUGGCCCUCUGUACCUGUUCUUAUGGCUGCAGUUGGAUGUGAUGAGUAGAGGAGAAGAGGUGAAGCAGGAUCCAUCUUUCCUGAGUGUCCAGGAAGGAGCCACCUUUGUUAUCAACUGCUCUUACACAGACAUGGCCUCCAGCUACUUCAUUUGGUAUAAACAAGAGCCUGGAAAAAGUCUAGAGAUGCUUAUAUAUAUUCUUUCAACUGAACGAAAGAAACAAGCUCAAAGACUCAUUGCCUUCAUGAACAAGGAUAAAAAAGAGUUCCUCCUGCACAUCACAGCUACCCAUCCUGCGGACUCAGCCACCUACUUCUGUGCAGCAACAGCACACUGGUCCCCAGGCACCUGCAGCCUGUACCGAAACCUGAGAGAGAGGCUGAAGCCCCACACUUUUUCUGUUGCCACAGAGCUGCACACCAGGGGUAUAAUCCGUCCAGCUCUCCAUCCGCCUUUAGUGCGCAUAGCAUGA